rnacentral:rRNA from 1 species
UACGUAGGUGACCAGCGUUGUCCGGAUUUACUGGGCGUAAAGAGCGCGCAGGCGGUCGUUCAAGUCGAGUGUGAAAGCCCCGGGCUCAACCUGGGAAGUGCAUUGGAAACUGGAAGACUUGAGUACGGGAGAGGGCAGUGGAAUUCCUGGUGUAGGAGUGAAAUCCGUAGAUAUCAGGAAGAACACCCGUGGCGAAGGCGGCUCUCUGGGACGGUACUGACGCUGAGACGCGAAAGCGUGGGGAGCGAUCCGG